rnacentral:misc_RNA from 1 species
UACGCAAAACGCACAGACUUGUUUCUCCUCUAACGUGGUGUUUGAUGGACGCUGCGAAGUGAGGCAUAAAAAAAAAGGAGGAAGUAAUCAAGAUCAGAUCCGGCACAUCGCCAGGCUGAAGUUGAGAUGCUGCGACGACGCUGCGUACGCGCUGCUGCUGCUGAUGGCGUGCUGGGUGGCGAUGCGGCUGCUAUCACUUACGCGCUAGGCAGCGCUUCACGCACGGUGACGUCUCGCGGUCAGUUCAACCCUAUUCACGCCUUCACGGAGCAUAGCAUUUCCCCGGCAAAGCGGGCCACAAACGAAAAGGAGUUCGAGGUGAUGAUCACCAACCCAGGUCCACUGCGCGUCGCCUACUCGCCGGACUACCUCGACUGGCUGUACCGCGCGUACCGGUCGAAGCUCAAGUACACCGACGAGCGCAAGAAGGCGGAGGAGGUGUUCAAUGGACUUCUGCUGACGAAGCAGGCCGAUGAGGAGGGGCCCGCCGCUGCCGCUGCGCUGCCUGGCGCCCCACCGCCGGGGCAGACGCUGCGACCGCGCCACUCUGUGCGGCGGCAGGCAGGCGAGGCACGGCGAGCGGCUGCCCAGGCGAAGCUGGACGCUCUCGCGAAGCAGCAAGGCAUGCUGGACCUCUUUGAGCGGCAGCCGCAGUUUCCUGCAAUUCACAUUGACAAGGCCGCCCGCUGCCAUGUGGUGGAACUGUUCAAGGAGAUGGUGCUGGACCGCGCCUGGAAACCAGAGGAGGUGUGGGACAAGGCACUCCUGUACCGCGCGAUUCUGGCGGAGCGGCAGGCGUCGUACCCUGCCUCGUACCGGUACAUCCUGGACACGGCGCAGGGGGUGAAUCUAGCACCACGCGAGAGCGGCAUCAGCGAUACGGGUAGCAACGGCAGCAGCGUCGAUGCACGCUCGUCCAACGAAUCUGCUGGCGGCAUUGUCGGCCAAUCGACCUUGGUCAUCCCGAGAGAAGAUGACUACAUGUACUUUGUGUACCUGGUCCGGCGUUACUACAUUGAUAACGCGGUAGAAGGGCACGUUGUGCUGCGCUGCCACCGCCAGCCGAACGCGUCAGAGCUGCUCUUCUCUCACCCGCCGCCGAAGGAUGAGCAGGAGGUGUUGCGGAGCCUCUACCGUCCUGGCACCGCAACAGCUACGCAGGGAAAGGACGCGUCUGUCAAGGCCCAAGAUGGGGCAGCCGCGGCGCCGCAACAAAGACCGUCAGGAGUUGCCACCAUCGCCCGCCCACGGCCUCCGUCUUCCUACCCGCCCAUCGAGGCGCUGUGGCGCUGCGAGGAAAACGAAGCACUGUUACGCGUGCUGGUCUUCGGCGAGCUGAACCUGCUCGUGUCAGAAAACCCCUUUGUCCGCUUUCCCAAAGCGCAGGCGUAUCUGACGCGACCGUCAUCGAGCACUCCCGCGCCUGGAGCCGCGGGAAGCUCCGUGGAAGGGGCAGAUGGCUAUGGCGGGCCGCACCAGCAGCGUCGUGGAGGCGGCCACCGUGGCAUCGGCAGUGAAGGUGGCAUCUCCCUGUCGAGUGUGAUCGCGGAGAAGCGCGGCCAUCUUCUUGCGCCGCUGUCUCGUAACGUGGCAAUGAUGAUCGACAGCCGCGCCAACGAUGUUCGCCGCCUCCAGCAGCGCUACGAACGCGAGGACACUGCGUCAUUCCAGAAGAUGCUUCGCGGCAGCGCACAAGUAGAGGAGAACCCCGGUCUCUACUCGGCCUACUCGGACUGGAGCUACUUCAACCCACGAGCCGUGCGCGCCGAGGAGCGCGAUGCGCUGUCGCGGCAGACCGUUGCGGCCCUCAAGACUUAUGACGAAGCCUCCAGGGACAUCUAUCGCGUCGGAUUCGAGGAGGCGGAGGCGAGGAGCGCCUUCCGUCCCGUGGAGGGGAAGAACAACGCGCCAUCGUACGUGCCCACGCUGCCGCACUUCGUGGCGCUGGUGAAGAAGGACCCCCACGUGUCGUUUCUGAGUCACGUGGCGCUGCCGGAGGAGUAUAACACCGCCUCCCAUGCUGCUGCGGGAGUCUCGGAGAAGCACCAGCUGGAGAAGCUUGUUGUGCAACUUGCUCGCGCGCUGUAUCGGAUGGCGCUUGAGUUUCACAAGGAGCGAUUGCGUCGCGUGAACCGGCAGAAGGUGCAAGUGGCCGCGUCGCUGCUGGACCGCUUUAUGACGGAGCGCUGGCGGGUACACUGCGUGGCGCACCCGUCGUCAGAGGGCGUACGCGACAUGGCACGUCGCUUCAGUGCCUAUGUCCCCUUCGAGGGCCGCAUUCUUGACGAGAGCGGGUUCCCAACGGACGCGCGCAUGGAGGACUACGAGCGGUGGAUGGCGGCGCCGUCGGUGUAGUCCACCUCCACUCACCGUUUCUCCGGGGCGAGCUUUGCUCCGUUUUAUGGCGUCUGCCUCACCUCUGAGGACAGGAAGGGGUGGGGGAAAGGGCAGAGCGAGUCGUACGACGGCCGCGUCUGCCGUCUCUGUUCCACUGAAUGCAUUCGAUGCUCUCUGCGUUUCGGAUGAACGUGCAGGCUGCGGCUGCUGCUGAGGAUGCCUGACUCGGAGGGAGGGCUGCAUGCCGGCGCGCGCACGCACGCAUGUCUGAGUGCAGAUGUGUGAUCGGCAGCGGCUAGCCUGCGCUCGUUUUCGCUUGAGGACAUUGCCGUUGUUGCUACAGAGUUGAUGCCGCCUUAACCACCAUGCUUUGUGUUCUUUACUCUGGCGUAUGUGCUCUUCAUGACGUGAUCUGCGAGUGAAGGGAGAGAAAAGGGGUCGCACACGCAUAUGUGCGCGGAGACCUUCGCUGAAGUGCGCGAGUUUGGAGAUGUAAGGGAGAGUUUGGUGGAGAGAGGGAGGGACCUUCAGAGGAGGCACCCGAGGUGGAUGAGGUGCGAGUGUGUCUUCUCGUCGAACCUCCUCCCCUUACUCUCGCCAUCACCUUCUGCUCCUGCUCUUCCUGACUUCAUUUGCUUGAUGUCUUGUCCCACUCGUCACCCCACCUCGUAAUGACCCCGAAAAAAACAAAGGAUAUGGUGGAUGCAAUGGCACAAAGAUCGUCUCAUGCAUUCUCUCAGACAAAUUCGUGGCGCUGAGUGGACUAGCAAGCUGUGCGCUCAGCGGAGACUCGCUGAACUUGAAGACCGAUUUGC